UUACUGAGUUUACGCUCUAUAACCCUUUGUGAACAUACCUAUAACUGUUGCUUCGGCGGGUAGGGUCUCCGUGACCCUCCCGGCCUCCCGCCCCCGGGCGGGUCGGCGCCCGCCGGAGGAUAACCAAACUCUGAUUUAACGACGUUUCUUCUGAGUGGUACAAGCAAAUAAUCAAAACUUUUAACAACGGAUCUCUUGGUUCUGGCAUCGAUGAAGAACGCAGCGAAAUGCGAUAAGUAAUGUGAAUUGCAGAAUUCAGUGAAUCAUCGAAUCUUUGAACGCACAUUGCGCCCGCCAGCAUUCUGGCGGGCAUGCCUGUUCGAGCGUCAUUUCAACCCUCAAGCUCUGCUUGGUGUUGGGGCCCUACAGCUGAUGUAGGCCCUCAAAGGUAGUGGCGGACCCUCCCGGAGCCUCCUUUGCGUAGUAACUUUACGUCUCGCACUGGGAUCCGGAGGGACUCUUGCCGUAAAACCCCCAAUUUUCCAAAGGUUGACCUCGGAUCAGGUAGGAAUACCCGCUGAACUUAAGCAUAUCAAUAAGCGGAGGAAAAGAAACCAACAGGGAUUGCCUCAGUAACGGCGAGUGAAGCGGCAACAGCUCAAAUUUGAAAUC
rnacentral:rRNA from 1 species